rnacentral:lncRNA from 1 species
CUUAAUAUGACACCCAAUAUGAAAUAUUAAGGCUAGGACCCAACAAACUAUUUUAUAACUUAGAAGAGGUAUGCCGUAAUCCAAGCUAUAAAAUAUUUGAAGGUAGGUGAAUGACGAUUCACCAAUUUCCACCAAGAUAAACGAAAUGUAUUAUUAGGUUUUAAUUGGUUUUGAAACUCCUAGAUCUUUGAGAUUCAUUGAACUUUUCAAAGGCAUGUUUCAAUCUCGAGUGUGCCCUUCAGGUUUUGUGACUGGGAUGCCGAGGAUCACAAAACAAGGUGUGAAGUAACCAUGCAAAUCACUUGGUACCCUUAAUAAAUUACCCCUCAAUCGAUGUGCCGGUUAACCACACACGCUCCAUCGAUACUAUGAUAAAUAUUAAGUCACCCUUUACCUACCUUGUUAAGUCCAAGUUAGUGUGCCGGUUAACCACACACGCUCCACUAACGACUUAGACAAAGUGUAAAGUGUAAUUUCAUGGAUUAGCACCUUAUUCACAUUUUUCCUAAGUAACUAAGAUUGGGUAUUAUUAAGAGUUUAGUUACUUAGUAUUAUCAUUAAUACUUUUAAUGAAGGGAGAAUUCUAGUCCUGUCAAACCCGUUCGGCUAACGACCCUCCACCAGUCAAGCAAGCGGUGGGUGAGAGUGGACACCCAUUAAGUUGCCAUUUUAUAGGCAACAACCUUAUACCCACCUUAUAGACCGGCUUCGUGAAUGAGGCGUACUAGCGGUAAGACUGACUUUACUCUUAUACAUAUAUAUAUUAUUAACUUAUAAUAUUAUAAAGUAUAAGGGUUGAAUUUUAACUUUUAAAAUUCUAAGGGCUAACUUGGAAUUAAAGUAUUCAUAAGUGAAAACUUUACAAAUUCCAAAACUUGAGGGCAAGUUUUGAAACUAUUCAAAACUAAUUAAUUCCAUAACUUAUGUGUUUAAAGUAGUUUUAAUCCAAAAACUCUUCAAGUUCCAUAACUUGAGGACAAGUUAUGGAAGACUUUAAACUAAUAAAAGAAUUAACUUUUCUUUAUUUUAUAACUUAUGGAAUUAAUUAAGGUUACACUUUUUUUUUUUUUAUUUUAUUUUAUUAAAUGAAGAGACUCUUGGUCCUCCAUAACUUGAGGACAAGUUAUGGAGUCAUAAAACCAUUUAAUUAGAACUAGACUCUUCAUUUUUGUAACCUUUGCCAAUUUUUAUGAGUUUUAUGAUUCUUAAAUGUGACUUUUCAUAUAACUUGAGGACAAGUUACAAAAACACAUUUUAGAAUCAAUUCUUAGAUUAAUUUGGAUUAAAACCAACUAUCACAUAAUUUUAUUCAUUAAUCUAAAUUCACUCAUAAAACAAGGUAACACAAAAAACUUUUGGUGAUCCAUAACUUAUUCUUAAGUUAUGGAAUCCUUUAAAACAUUAACACCAAAUUUUGUAACUCCAAAAAAACUUUGAAUCAAUUUUUUUUUUAAAACCUUUUCAUAUCCAUAACUUAUGGAGGUUUCAAAAAAUAAAACUCUUUAGAUCAAACUUUUAAAACUAAUAAAAUAAUCAUAUUAUUUUAUCUUUUAUUAAAUUUGACCUAAUUCAACUCAUAAAGCAAAUUAUUCAAAUUUUACAAAUAAUUAGUUUUUCACAAGAACAAGUAAUUAUCUUAAAAUUUGACAAACUUCAUGUUUUUUUUUUUUUUUUUUUUCAACUUUGAAAAUAAAAUAUUUGCAUCAAUAUAACAGAAAACAACCCGUGGCUCUGAUACCACUGUUGGGUUUUGAGCAUUCUAACACUUCCUAAGUGUACAUGCAACCCUAAAUACCUUGGAUCUAUGUUUUCUCUAUUAUACAUGCAAAUAAGAACUUCCAAGGUAUUAUCCUAAUCUAGCAUACAAAACAAUAACUAUAGCAAGAUAGAAUACAUACCUCUUUGGUGUAGAAAGUCUUCAUGAAGCUUGAGUGCCUAGUGCCCCAAGUGUGACACCUCAAAUGGAAUCACAAUCAUCAAAACACUUAGAAUGACUUGAGAGAAUUCUACACUCAUCAAAAUCGGCUAGCCCUUUCUUCACUAUCUCUAGUGGCCGAUUUUUCCUCAAUAAUAAGAUGCUUAUAUAGUUACACAAUUAGGGUAAACUCUUAAUUGUCAUGGCUUUCCAUUUCCUUGGAUCCAUGGGUACAAAUACACCAUGGAGCAUCCAUGGACCAUCCUAUGGGUUUUAGCCCAACUUGAUUAUCCAUGGAGCAUUAGCCCACUAUACAAGUAUGGAUGAUUUACACAAUCAACCCAUAUAUUUAAUUAGUCUUCUUUUGAUCACUUAAUUAAUCCUAGAUUAAUUCUUGAUCAAUACUAAUUAAAUAAUCUUAUUAUUCUUAUUAUUAAUAUACUAGAACUUAUAAUAUAUUAAUAACCAUAAGUGUCUUAUUUCUCUCAUUAUAGUCUAUCCAAGUGCAUGAUGGUAUGCAACCCAAAUGGACCAUGCCGGGUCGGGUCAAGUCUUACCAAUUAUAGUUAUGGACUUAGACAUUAAUCCAACAGUCUCCCACUUGGAUAAGUCUAAAACUAUUAUUGCGUAUGACUUCAGGAACCAACUGGCAAUCGUAGCUCUCAAAAGCUUCUGUCGAACUCUGACCUUGUAGAUGAACUCUGACCUUUGUCAAUGACUUGUCCAUUAGAUAAGGGAUCAUAUAUUCCUCCAUUCUAGAUAUCAUAUGGACUGAGACAUGGAUUAUAAUCAUUCUCUCUGUCCAUUUGUUGUUUCCCGAUUUCCGAUUUAUGACGACUGACUAAUUGAACAAAUCAAAUCAGUCCUGGCCCGGCCGAGCACUUCCAUUUGUCAUCAUCAAAUCAUCGAGGGGCCCACAGAUAUCGCUUUUAUCCCGAAGGUAAAAGGAACGGAUAAACUUCGACUCAUAUGGCUUGUUCUACUACUUGUUGAAUCAUACACAAAGGCACGUUUUAUAGCACCGAGUUACCAAAUGCGUUUUCGUGCAAUCAAUGUACUAUCAACUCAUAGUAACAACUCAUAUCUCUAGGUUUGAAGAAUAUAAGAUAUUAUCGUCUCAUGAUCACUCGUGAUAAAAUCCAUGAAGUGAUUCCAAUGAGCGCGGGUUGAAUCCAAUACUCAGAACUUAUGAGCACUCAUGAGUGUUGUAGCCCUUUGUCCAACACCUUAGACCUCUACAAGCCAACCCAUGACAGUCUUAAUUCAUAUCUACUUCCAACAUAUGACCGACUGUGGAUGGUUUGAAUAACUUAGUCAUUCCGGAAGAAUAACCUAGUUUAUUCGGGAAGUCAAAACAUGCAAAGUGAAACACAAUAAUAAUUGAAUCCAAUAUGGUAUCAACCCUUUGAACAUAAAUAAAACACCUUUUAUUUAUCACCAUAUGAUUACACAUUAUUCAUUGUAUACUGUUUCAGCUAUCAACUUUAUUCUUGAAUUUAAAACAAUAGUUGUCCCAUGCUCCAAGCAUGUACACUAUGUUUUCUUAAACACUAGUCAUGCCACACACCAAGUAUGCAUACUAUGUUUGUCUAUGAUCUUUACUUUGUGAACUAGAUCAAUUGAACAUAACUUCAAUGAUUCUCUUUUCACACUCCCAAAUCCUUACUGCAAAUGCAAGAAUUCCAAAUUCAUGCCAUUUACUGAAAUCUGUUAGAUUCUAAACUUAUAUGCAUUGAUCCUCUUGUAAUGAUUAUGCACAAAGUCAGAAAGACUUGACAACAAUCAUUACAGAGUAUUCCAAAGGAGAUCAGCUCCUUGGAAACAUCCUUCUUGCAUUAAGUUUCCUAAUCUUAAACAGAUUGAAAAUUCUAACUUUGAAACAUUUCCAGAUUCCAUUUUGACUAUCACUUCUGAACAAGAGUUGCCUCCUUACAGAUUAUGUCAAUAUGGUCCUUCCAGAAUUAUCACUAUACUUCCAACUGUCCUUGAGCAACCAAUCUUUGGUAAACCUUAGAUUGUCCUCGACAAUUGUUUAAUCCUUUUAGUCAUAUCCAGUUCUAAACCUUUUCCCUUCUUAAUGCCCCAGGCAUUUGGAAAAUUUUAGAACGGAUGAAUAUAGCACAUGUAAUCGAUCCUAUAUCCGAAGCAUAUGGGACACGAUUCAUGAUGUCUUACAUAAAGACUAAACCAGUCUUUUGCUAUAAUAUUUCCAUUUCAAUUUGCCAAGUUCUCAUAAUUCAGAUUAUGAAAAGGGAUGCCGUAAUCAUAAUCGAAUUUUAGAACGCAAAUAAUGGACCCAUAUACAGAAUUUCCUUAUGUUGAGCCAUUCCAACAUGAAAUUCAUAUAUAUCCUUGACUAAAUGAUUAAAACCUCACGAUCUAAGCUUAUAGAUUUGAGAUGAAGUAUAAUUUCCUCUCCCUUAAUUAUAGCAAAACAACUUUUUCCCAAUUGAAACUUUUGUUUUCUAUAAUUAACAUUGCUAACUUGCAAUACUUAUCAUAAUUAUCAUGCUCCCACUAACAUGAUGAUUAUUAGCAUAACACUUAUGCUCCCACUAGCUUUGACAUGUACUCAGAAAUCAGCUGGACUUCUAGAAAUCAAUACUUCAUUGACUUUCUUACCAAAGUUCAGAUUUCUGAUGCUAGAUUGUUUUGAUAAAACUUUAUCAAAAUCAUACACCUUCCCUUAGAUAGCACACUUGUGUAUCUAAACAAUUAUGAAGAGGGAUGCCGUAAUCAUAAUGUUUAGACCUUUUUGCCACUUCUCACAAGUCCAAGUUAGUGUGCCGGUUAACCACACGCGCUCCACUAACGACUUUGAGAAUGCAAAUAUCACAAUUGCUAUCUAGCUAAAAUCUACUUAGUGAAAGUGUUUCCUCACCAUCAUUUUCAUGAAUCGGAGAGAAACCUUAUGACACUUAGAUUUAAUGGUGUAUGUGUUCUUAUCCAUGUGAAUUGUCAAAACCAUAGUCACAAGACAAGGAUAAUGACAAAUCCAAACUCAUAUGGACUGAACUCAAUCUUAAUUUCUUGCCACCUGGCAGCUCAAGGGCCUACCAUUGCUUCCAAGUUGUUGUGCAACAAAUUGAGAACUCUAAGAACUCAUAUGCAAAGCCAACUUUAACUGGAAUGGGCACAGAAUAUGUCAACACGAUAGGUUAUGAACCUCAAGUCGUGUGCUAGUGAAGAACUUCAGGUUUUAUUCUUGAUUAGUUCUUGAGACUUUCAAGACCUUUAAGACUCCCACUGUCCUCUUGACAUAUAAGACUCCCUUGUCAAACAUCCAAGAGAUAGUGCGGAUUCUAAUCAAGAAAAACACUUUACCCAAUUGGCCUAAGUUGGUCUUUGUUUUAUCCAAAACAUCACAACUUACCAAUUUCAAAUGUACAAGAGUAGAAAACUUUUACUCUUACAUUUGACAAGUGUUUUAAACCUUCUUUAAGACAUGUCACUCAAAUGACAAUCUUGGAGUAUGACUCUAAGACUUGUAUUGGAACGAAGUAUGACUCAUCUUCUUGAUUUAACCAUUUCAACAAUUCAAGUUCCUCUUCUUAGUCAUAAGAAUGCACUAAGAUUUCCUUAGAGAACUAAUUUUGAUAUGGUUUCUUAAUCAUUAAGAUGAUCACAAAACUGAUACUAAAGUACUCUCCCAUCUUUUCAGAUUUGAGAAACUUUUAUCCUUCUGCCUUAUUUGAUUCUUCUUAUCGAUCUUUAGUGGUGGACUUAAUCAGUGCACAAGAAUGUGUACUCGAUCCCUAAGUCCUUUACUUGACUCACACAUCCAUGUGAACAAGUAAUUAGUCUUAAUUUUCCAAAACUUGAAAGUUCUCAUUCAUCAUGCUAUACAACUUGCAUGAUUCCAAGUUCCGGUCCAAUUGAAACUUGGGUGAUGAGAAUCUUUCCUUAUUUGGUAAAUUUAGACAUUACCACAAAUGAAAGAAUCAAUUUCAUACUUCCACUCUUGCUACUAAUGGAAUCUUAUAAGCAACAAAAAUUUCCACAGAUGCCAUUGUAAGGAUAUUUUAAAAUAAAUAAAAUCAAAAAUUUCCUUUUAUUUUAAAACUUUGCGGAAAAACUAUCCUUACAAUCCAUAUGAAAACUUGUUGUUAUCUAUUCCUAAGCAAUAUCUCAUAACUCCUAAGAAGUAGCUCAAGAAUCCGAUUUUUCAAACUAUGCGAUAGAAAUCCAUCUAUGCGAUCAGAUUCAGCAUAUUCUUCCUUUAAGUUUCUUCACUUUCCUUUGAUUCUUAAACCAUCACCAUGCGACCCGGUCACAUCAUGUAUCAAGAAUCUCAGAAUAGAAACUUAACAGAGUUAGAUAGUGGAUUUUACCUGAAGUAGAGUCAAACUUAUUGACUUUAACAUCCUUAGGUAAAUUUGGCAGCUUCGCAACCAAUGCCCUUUCUUUGGCAAUACAAACAUAUGGACCCUUUGAUAAUGGUACACAGGACUAUCACAGACUUAGCUUUUCUCUUUACCAUUUGGUCAACCGAGUUGACUAUAGCCGAUCCCUUUCCAUUGGGAAGAGAAUGCUUUACUGGAUAUCCAAUGUCAUCAUUGUCAAUGUCCAUAAAGUUUUAGGAAGUUGAUCUUAACAAAUAGAUAAGAUCAUUAAGGGUCUUGUCAUAGUCUUUUUCAUAGGUGUUCCAAAAGAACUCACUAUGUGACUUAGAAAGUAGUUGAACCACCAACUUUCUCAAGACUUUGACACCCAACUCUCCCGGCUUGUCAAUAUGUGACUACAUCUCCAAGAUGUGACCACACCUAGACCUUGCCUUGCCAAAAGGGCCUGAGUGACCUUAAACUUUUCAAGAACUUGUGGGUUAGGGAGAAUAAUUUGAAGAGGUGAAGAAGUAUGAUAUCCAUGGGACAUCAUCUUCAUUAGGAAACCUUGUUUCAAGAGAUUUGGGAAGAUCAUAGGUGUCUAAACCAGACAUCUUUUGGGAGAUAUUCAAGAUAGUUGAUUUAAAGUCCUUAAUAUGACACCCAAUAUGAAAUAUUAAGGCUAGGACCCAACAAACUAUUUUAUAACUUAGAAGAGGUAUGCCGUAAUCCAAGCUAUAAAAUAUUUGAAGGUAGGUGAAUGACGAUUCACCAAUUUCCACCAAGAUAAACGAAAUGUAUUAUUAGGUUUUAAUUGGUUUUGAAACUCCUAGAUCUUUGAGAUUCAUUGAACUUUUCAAAGGCAUGUUUCAAUCUCGAGUGUGCCCUUCAGGUUUUGUGACUGGGAUGCCGAGGAUCACAAAACAAGGUGUGAAGUAACCAUGCAAAUUACUUGGUACCCUAAAGUGUUUACCCAUCAAACGAUGUGCCGGUUAACCACAUACGCUCCAUCGAUACUUUGAUAAACAUUAAGUUACCCUUUGCCUACCUUGUUAAAUACGAGUUAGUGUGCUGGUUAACCACACACGCUCCACUAACCGACUUAAACAAAGUGCAAAGUGUAAUUUCAUGGAUUAGCACCUUAUUCACAUUUUUCCUAAGUAACUAAGAUUG